GUCACAUGACGUUGAGAUAGAUACACUAGUGUUUAAUUUGACACGAUGAUGUAAACCACUUUCCUGGCAGGAGUGACUGUUAAUAGUCAGCACUUCAAAAUGUCACAUCGGAAUCAUCGGACACUGUUCCGGCUCGGUGUCAUGGUGGCGGUCGCCGUUGUUUUACUGUCAUGUAACCGAGCUCUGGGCUUGUUAAAUUCACAACACACCUGGACAGAUAUGUCACAAAAUGGACAAAGCUACAUUGGCCGGGACCUUAAAUGGAUCGGAGAAGACCCAUUAUUGAAACAACGAAGUUUGAGAGGCGAUGGUAAUGUGGAGUGCCGUGACUUCCACACAAUGCCUAAUCUGACAGACAUCUGUAAGUUUGUGAACACGACAGACGACUGCCAGAUCGACGAAGGCUUCAUUGACUACACUGUGUUCGUGUAUUGCACUCUGGGUACUCUGGUUCCGCUGGCGCUAGUCAUACUUUUUCUGUGGUGGCUGUUCCUGUUUGUGGGUCUGGCGGUCACUGCAGAUGACUUUUUCUGUCCGUCACUGACUGUCAUAUCAAGGACCUUGAGGCUCAGUCACAAUGUGGCCGGGGUAACAUUUCUGGCAUUUGGAAAUGGAGCCCCAGAUAUAUUCUCUGCCAUCGCAGCUAUUGGCAGCGCCAAGAAUGGUGACGCAGGAAUGGCGGUGGGAGCUCUGUUCGGUGCGGGUGUGUUUGUGACAACUGUAGUUGCCGGGGUCAUCGCUGUUGUCUGCCCAUUCGAUGCCAUGCAGCGCCCGUUUCUCCGUGACGUCAUCUUCUAUCUGGCUGCUGCAUUCUGGACUUUCUACAUCCUCUGGAAAAAGACGAUAACAAAGUUUGAAGCAUUAGGGUUCAUAGGUCUGUAUGUGUUCUACGUGCUCGUGGUCGUCAUCGGGAGAUACAUCUACCAGCGAGGACGGCAUCGGCCCGAGGACCAGACCGUGAUAGUGCCGCCGCCAAGUGAGAAAUCACACAGCGAGGACUUGGGACAUGAGGACGAUGGUUCCCCCAAUUCUACAGUGUCUCUCAAUGCAGCAGAUGGCACCGCCUCAUCGCCAACGAAUCCCUAUAACAUUCAGGAGGAACUGUUGCAGGCCACGGUUUCCAUAGACACCAGAGGUCGGUCUCACUGGGGCUUGAGUCAAUGUCUAGGACCUGUACAAGUUGAUUGGUUACGCCAUGAAGCUAAUGAAAGAAGUCCACUACUAGAACAUGCCCAGGUUGAAAACUACACUCUACCAAAGAAGAGUUCUUCAGAAGGGGAGGACAACUCUGUUUUUAUGGAAUUCCUGGAAACUGUAAACCCCAUCGAUAUAGAGAACUGGCCUGACAAGAGGUUUUAUUCUAAAGGUUAUGAAAUUUUCAAGUGCCCGAUCAUGCUGAUGCUGAAGUUGACCAUCCCCGUGGUGGAUUACAGCAGCAACGACGACAACCACAACUGGAACAGACACCUCAACUCCCUACACUGUUUUACUGGGCCGGUGUUUGGAGUUUUCGCUACAAAAGUUGCGUUUGUGAAACUAAACGGUGUGUUCCCGUUGUGGGGUCUGGUAAUGAUCAUUGGCGGCGUCCUCGCCGUCUCAGUCUUCUGCGUCACCAGGAACACCGACAAGCCUCGAUUCCAUGCUUUGUUUGCCUACCUGGGUUUUGUUGUCGCUGUUGUCUGGAUCUACUCAGUCGCUAACGAGAUCGUCAACAUUCUGCAGACAUUUGGUAUUGUGUUCAACAUCAGCAAUGCCAUCCUGGGACUGACAUUCCUGGCCUGGGGCAACAGUAUAGGAGAUCUAAUAGCCGACUUUGCGAUGGCACGGCAGGGGUACCCUCGGAUGGGCAUCUCGGCCUGCUUCGGUGGCCCUCUCUUCAACAUAUUACUAGGCAUCGGAAUCCCCUUCACGAUUGGCACGUUUAAGAGAGGAGGAAGCUAUGAGCUGCGGCUGACGUUGGUGGAGCUGAUCCUGGCCGGCUUCCUCUGUCUCAGUCUCGUGUCCUCACUCAUCAUUGUGCCGCUCUCCGGGUUUCGAAUGUCAAGGCCAUACGGAAUAUUCCUCUUCAUCCUGUACGGGGUGUUCAUCACGGUGGCCAUGUUGGCUGAGACCAAUGUAAUCCAUGCCAACGUCUGAUGAGCUUUUGUAGUUGUCACCAUGACAACAGAUUACAUUGCAGUCAUCACCAUGACAACAAUUUCACAACCAUGUCACAGUUACAUUCCAGAUAGCUGUUGUUAAUGACACAGUUGCAUCUCAUUGGUUCUCUUGAGGUGUUGCCAUGGUGACAAGUAAGCAUGACAGAUAUCAAUCUACCCCUUUUGUUCUAUUUAGCCAUUAUCCUGGAUUAUACAGAGGGUGUAUAUAGCCUCGGUCAUAAACUGCCACUUAGUCUCUGAAAAAUAUAAUUUUGAUAGAAACAAUUCCCCUUGCAUUGGAAAGGAGCCCCAGUGAGAUGGGAGAUAGUGAACCUGAGGAUAUCUAGACUUGCUUCAUUUAGGGCAUUAUUAUUACAGAAAGGGCUUUAAGGAAGGGAAAUAAUAUGGUUCAGGGACUGAGACAGACUACCUAAACCUGUAUUGGAGGCUAUUGGUCUCCAAUCCUGUACGGGUCUCUUUUGGUUCACUGUGAACUUGUGCCUGUGAGUGUCCUGUAGGUGUCCUAAGAGCUUUGUUAGUUUCCUGUGAGUGUUUGGUUGACUGAGUGUCAUGUGUAGGUGUCCUGUGAGUUGGUUGGGUGUCCUACUAGUGUGUUGGUGAAUGCAGGUGUCCUGUGUGGGUGUGCUACUAUGGGUUGGUGACUGCAGGUGUCCUAUGUGGGUGUCCUGUGAGUGUGUUGGUGACUGCAGAUGUCCUACGUUAUUGUCUGGUCUGUGUGAAUUUGCGUGUUGUCUGUUGAU
rnacentral:misc_RNA from 1 species